GGCUCAGAUUGAACGCUGGCGGCAUGCCUUACACAUGCAAGUCGAACGGCAGCACGGGGAGCUUGCUCCUGGUGGCGAGUGGCGAACGGGUGAGUAAUACAUCGGAACGUACCCUGAAGUGGGGGAUAACGUAGCGAAAGUUACGCUAAUACCGCAUAUUCUGUGAGCAGGAAAGAGGGGGAUCGCAAGACCUCUUGCUUUAGGAGCGGCCGAUGUCGGAUUAGCUAGUUGGUGAGGUAAAGGCUCACCAAGGCGACGAUCCGUAGCGGGGCUGAGAGGAUGAUCCGCCACACUGGGACUGAGACACGGCCCAGACUCCUACGGGAGGCAGCAGUGGGGAAUAUUGGACAAUGGGCGGAAGCCUGAUCCAGCCAUGCCGCGUGUGUGAAGAAGGCCUUUUGGUUGUAAAGCACUUUAAGCGAGGAGGAGGCUACCUAGAUUAAUACUCUGGGAUAGUGGACGUUACUCGCAGAAUAAGCACCGGCUAACUCUGUG
rnacentral:rRNA from 1 species